rnacentral:lncRNA from 1 species
GGAAGAAAUGAGACCUUAUUAGUGUGCAUUAUGAAAAAAGUCCUUGUUAGUCUGUGGGUAUAGAGACUUAGCAUGGAUUAUGGUCUAAGUAUUAAAAACACACUUAGGGUUAAUAAGUUUUUAUGGCAAAGCAUUCAAUAUUUUUUAAAGAAAAAAGCAAUACUAAUUUUUGUGUACUUUAAUUCCUUUGAAAUGCUCUUGCUAUAACUGCAAAGUUGAAUCUCAUAUAAAUAAAUAGUUGUAUUAUAGUGCUCUUUUUAAAUUUAUCAUCAUUGACUGAUAUGUGUGCAAGACUUAACUGUCUUAUAACACUCAGAGUAAAGAAAAAGUAGGUUGCUUAAAACAAGUCAACAAAGAAGUUUUUAGAUUAGUAUAGAUGCAGACACCUUUCUUGUGUGAUUCAUAUGAUUUAUUAUUUUUGGGGGCCAUACUCACAGCAUGUGGAAAUUCCCAGGCUAGGGGUCUAAUCGGAGCUGUAGCCACUGGCCUACGCCAGAGCCACAGCAACGCGGGAUCCGAGCCGCGUCUGCAACCUACACCACAGCUCACGGCAACGCCGGAUCGUUAACCCACUGAGCAAGGGCAGGGACCGAACCCGCAACCUCAUGGUUCCUAGUGGGAUUCGUUAACCACUGCGCCACGACGGGAACUCCAAUAGUGGUUUUUAUACAAGUUUUCCAGUGGGCAGUUGUGGAUGCUGUUGAAAUAAAUUGAGAAGUAGAACAUCUAAGCAGAGACAGAGAAGAUAUAAAAAAGAUACAGAUUUGUUCGAACUGGAAAAAAUGCAGUAAGAGGGGAGAAAAAAAACCACCGAGAACUAUUAGAGAAGUAACAAAAUGUUAGACUUUUUAAGACAUUUUGAGAAAGAUUGUGGUGCUGAAAAAUAUUUGCGUAAUGCCUUAAAACAUCACAAAUUUAAUGAAAGGUUUAAAUACAUACAAAUUCCGGGAGUUCUCACUGUGGCUCACAGGUUAAGGACCAGACUUAGUCCUUGUAAAGAUGUGGGUUCAUUCCCUGGCCUUGCUCAGUGGGUUAAUAAGGAUCUGGCAUUACCACAAACUGAAGCAUAGCUCACAGAUGUGUCUUGGAUCUGGUGUGGCUGUGGCAUAGAUGUAUAGCUAUAGCUCUGAUUCGACCCCUAGCCCAGGAACUUCCACAUGCCACAGGUGCAGCCAUAGAAAGAAAAAAGAAAAAGAAAGAAAAAA